CGGCACUUCGGCUGCUCUUCUCCUUCCGCUUCUUCUUGUCCCGCUUGGCGAAGAAGUCGUCCAGGCUUCGCUCCUCGGUCUCCGCCAUGGCGGCGGCCGGGCAGGGAAAGGAAGGCAGCGGCGGCCCGGGCCAAGAGGUGGUACAUGCCAGAUGGACUUUUUGCAGAUUAAAUGAAGGAUCAUUUAACAAGCAGCUGCAUCAGUUUCUUCAAACCUCACCAUCUACUACCCAGCCAUAUAAAACAUGAGAAGCAGUCCAGUCCUCCUACUUCUAGCAACCUCACAGCCCAUUCCCUGGGAGGAUGUUCUCCAUCCUUUUAAGGACAAGUACCUGCUUUGC